rnacentral:lncRNA from 1 species
CGAUAUAACAAUAGUGAACAUCAUUACUCGGUGACCAAUGAAGCCAGUUCCUCCUCCUCUUCUAAGAAACAACGGUCACAUUUCUAAUAUUCGUUGGAUUUUAGCUCAAAUACUGGUAUGUACCUCAUGCCUUGUUUUGUUUUUUUUUUAUUUGGUAUUGAAAUUUUGUGUUUUCUCUUUUUAUGUAAUUCUCUCCUUCUAUUAGCUACAAAGUCUUCUUCCAAAAACAAUACUAUAUUUUUUCUUCUCAUUCUUUCUUACUCUUUCCUUUUACGUUUUCUUUCCCCUAUUCGUUGGAUUUUAUGCUCAAAUCAGAUCUUGAAAUCGUGUGAUCUUAAUCCAAUUAUUUCCUAAAAGUACUCGAUAUUCAAGAAUUUGAACAUGAAAAUUUGUCACCUCUAAAGUGAAAAGAUAAUACUACAGAUUGAGGGAAAUGGAGAUGAAGUAACAAAUAGCCCACUGUUUAAAUUAUGGAUGCCAUAAAGUUAAUCAUCCAUGUUGAAAAGAUGUCAAAAGUGCAGGCAACCCAUUUUCAACUCUUGAAUGUUAGCUUUCUAUGCUAAAUUCAAAUUUGUAUUUUCGACUUGUUCAUUUAUGAUGCUUCUUUUUACAAUUUAAUUGGCUCUCAAUGAAAUAAACUAUUUUGUAUCUUUAAUUAGUUAUCCUUUUCAGUUGAUAUCAGUAAAGGCACGCUUAAAGAUCGCUUAAGUCCCGAAGUGAGGCGCAAAACAUGUUGAGCGCUUCGCCUCGCUUAGAUGGCUCUUCAGUGUCGUCAUCAAGGCUCUAAGGUAUAUUUUUCCUUGACAAUGAGCGUAACCCUGAAGAGGCUACACCAAAUAAUUAAUAUUUCACUUAUCGUAAUUCUUUUUUUCCAAUUUCUGUGUCCAUAUAUUUGUUAUUCAUGCGUAUAAUUAUUAAUGUUGGACUGCACCUACAUAUUUGUGUUUUUUUCUCCGUUUGUGCCUUUCUUCAAUAUAAAGCCCCCGCUUUAUUUGCGCUUAAACCCCAACGGACCUUAGAGCUCUUUUACACUUUUCGCAUUUGAUAACACUGGUUGAUAUAUCAUGUUUCAUUCGAGAAGAUGAAUAGUUUAAUUCUUAUUUCCUUUAUUCACACUGGUUAAUCGGAAUCUUUAAUAAGGACAUGUACCUAAACUUCUUUGGCUCUCUGAUUGUUACAUUUGGGGAGAUCUUAGGCUUACUCUGAUUGUUAUAUUAGGGAAAAAUCUCUGAUUUAACUUUUAAAUACAAAUAUCUCUCUUGUUAUGGUAGGGAGGUCGAAACAAUUGACGCAGCACAGCGUGAGACAAUGGAGAAAGCUGAGUAUGAGAUGAAGUUGAGGUUUGUUCUCCCUUAUGAUCUCUCUGUUCUUUUAUGGUUGUUUAAGGAAAAAGUGAAAAUAAGCAACGAUAAUAUAUUUACCACAAGUAAAUACUCUUUGAUUAAUAUUUACAAUGACGGCUUUGUGGUAGAGUUAAAGGCGCACGAGCUUUCAAAUUUCUUGCAAAAUAUUGAGUGUUAUACCAAAUUUAUUAUACCAAAUGUUACUUAGAAGCCUUUUCCUUUCAAGACUGUGUGCAGUAAUUCAUCUAAUACAAUUUAAGUCAAGUAGCUUAAGAACAAUUUUAAAUCUUUUUAGUCUUUUCCAGUGUACCAUAAAAAUAAAAAAAAUCAUACAAUAUGUGUUUGUUCGCGUGACAAUAUCCAUUUCUCCUUUUUAACUUUUAAAUUCACAAUUCCCGUAACAAUAAUACUUUUUUCGUUGCACCAUUAACAAUAUCGAUUUAAUGGAAUAACUAAUGUCAUGUUUUCAUAACAUUUUCUACCAACACAUGGUGGAAUUUACUCAAAAUCUAUAUAAAUGUUUUUGAUUACACUACAAAUAACAUAUUUCAAUUUCGAAUCUGAUCGUAUUUUGGUUUAAGAAAUCAAAAUAAAUCACUUGGAACCCAUAUAAAAUAAAUCUAAAUUGGAAAAUUUUAAAAGUUAGGACUAUUAUAUUGAAACACGUGUGAAUUUUCAUUACCUCACAAAACUACUAGAAAGAGAGUAAUUUUCCUUUAUUUCUUCUUAUUGUUAGCACGACAACAGGAAAAUCAGUGUUAUCAAAAGGCGAAAAACGCAAAAAAUAUCUAAGGUUUAUUGGGACUUUAAGCGCAAAACACAAAUAAAGCGUGAGCUCUAAUGAAGAAAGCCUUAAAUGGAGAAAAAUGACAAAUAUGUAUGUGUAGUCCAAAACUAAUAUCUAUAACCAUGAAUAUCAAAUAUAUGAACAAAGAAAUUGAAGAAGAUUUAUGAUAAAUUGAAAUAACAAUUGUUUAGUAUCGUCUCUUCAGGAUUAUUCUCAUUGGCAAGGAUAAGUAUGCCUUAAAGCCUUGAUGACAAUAAUUAAGUGUCCGCUACGCGAGGUGAAGCGCUCAACAUAUUUUGUGUUGGGAAUAAACCCCGUAAAAAUAGUAUUCACGGUAUUAGUGAUAAGCGCAAAACACUAAGUUAUGGUUAAAUCAGCAAGAAUAGAAAUGCAGCAAUAAUGACACCAAGAUUUUACGUGGAAACCCUUUUGAAUAAGGGAAAAACCACGGCCAAGAAGAGCAACUGUUAUCACUAUAGCGAGGAAUUUUACACUGUGUAGUAACGAGUAAAAAUACUCCUAAGACCACUACACCCUCAAAAGAAAUAAACACUCUUUUGCUUUUUCCACCUCACUACAAUAUCUCUCACACUCUAUUUUUCUUCACAAACUAUUUUCUUAUAGUUUAUGGAAUACUUUGCUCUCUCUUUUCUCUCUUUGUUGGUGUUUAGAAAUGAGAGUUAAGGCUCUCCUUUUAUAGCCAAAACAUCACUCUCUAAAGCCUACAAUAUUUGACAAUUUACACACCCUUUUUACAAUUUCAACAAAGUUGGCUACCAAACCAAACCAAGUCAAUAAAAUUGGCUACCAAAUUAUACUAAUUCAACAAGGUUGGCUACCAAAUUAUACUAAUUCAACAAGGUUGGCUACCAAACCAAACCAAGUCAACAAAAUUGGCUACCAACAUUUGAAUGAGAUGGACACCAUAUCAUUUUGAACCUCGCUUUAGGGCUUAAGCGCGCCUUUGAUAACACUAAGAAAAACAAGGAUGGGUUUUUGCAAUGUAGACCAUGAACAACUCCCUAUAAUGGAGGUGCUUGAAUGUGCACCAUCUUCUAUUUCCACCCAUAUUUCUACUCCCAUUCAUGAUAAUUCUUUACUUAUCUGAAAGGUGUCUCACAGAUACCUAUUCUUAAACCAGUCCGCCAAAAUUGCAGUGUUCGUGAUGAAGGAGAUAUGUUUCUCUGCAAUUUGAGAAAAUGCCUAAAUUACAAACAGAACAUGAGUAAGCUUCAUCUAUGUGACAUUCAAAUAUGACCUUAUGCCAAGUUCAACUGCUUUUUUGAAAAUUCAACUUCUGGCUAAGAGAUAAAAACAGAUUUUGAGUAUCCUUGUCUCACUCCUAAACUGAUAAACGUACAGAGACCUGAUCCGAGCUGUUUUUCCAUUUGCAAUGUUAUCUAAAUAUGUAGGGAAAACCGUUCCAUGGUGGUUGUAUUUCAUCAGUUAAUUUUACUGGGGUUCGAUAGGGAGAUUCUUUGACGCAUAGUAGCUGCAAGAAAACUCGUGCUGUUUCAUUUUUGACUAACAGAGUGAAGAUGAAACACUUUUGAAUAUGUCUGUGUACAUGCAAAAGAAAAUUCAGGCUGUAGUCAAAUUUACAUAAAGAAGGGAGAAUUAUUUCAAAGUGGUUCAUGCAGCUCAGCUAAACUAAAAUUCAAAAGGAAACUCAGGUCGCAGCCAAAAUACAUAAAGAAAGGAGACUUUUUUCAAAUGGUUUAGGUAGCUCAAUUAGACUGAAAAAUCAUUGUGUGGUUUGAAUUCACAGGAAAGAAAGAGAAUGCGAGGUAGAGGAAUUGGUCAACUCAUCAGGCUAUCGACCUAAAAAUUACAAGUUCGAAUUCUGUCCCCGCCUAAUCGGUGAAACAUUGUUCACUAGGAUAAAAGGCAGGUAAUGCUAAUUGACAAAGUGACAUUAAGCAUCCCUAGCGGUACAAAAAGAGGGGUCGUGAUAAUAUCAUUUACGUCUGCACUGCUCUUCGUUGAGUAGAUUCGAUAAAGACUUGACUCGCUCCUAGCCACUCCGGGGCAUCAUAGCGUAUCAGGACGUACUCGAUGUGACCACUCCCUUGGGCUUGCCGCCCUGCUCUUCAAGUUUUGACUUGCAAGCAUAUGUUAGAAUUUGGUGCAGGGAGUGAGGGAGUGUGGGUUGUCUGAAGUGAGGUGCUCCACAAACCUUUUGGUGUACAUAUUACAGUAGUUGAUUCUUCUAAGUAAGUUAAUAUCCAGGCAUCUAUAGAAUUCCUAGAAAUUGGAGAAUGUGUUCAUCUCUUCUGCCUUUGUAUGACUUAACUGACUGAUCACUAGCACCCUUUUUAAAAAACUUCUCCUGUUUUAAAUUAGCUUUACUGUGGAUUUGUCUGCAGUUGCAAUCACUUAAUGCCCUUUCACUAUUGGAGAUGACUGAUAACUAGGGAUUUUGAUGCAUUUUAUACUCCUUCUUGCUUAAGUUUUGAUUAAAAAUGUGUACAAAAUAGUCUCAAAGGCUCACAAGUUGUGCUUGAUUGCAGGUUUGAUCAACAAGGUGACAAAAUGUCAAAGAUCAGCUCAAAAAGGAGUGAAACUUGCACAAGUAUCAAGACAAGAUAAAGCUCAGGCAAAAUAGGGCCAGUGCGGCCGCACACCAUUCUGUGCGGUCCGCACAAGUGAGGUUCAAAGAGUAUGCAACUCAGGCAAAACAGGCAAUGCGACCGCAUGGGAUUUACUGCGGUCCGCAGUGGAGUCACUGCGGCCGCACACGAUUUAGUGCGGUCCGCAAAGCCAAGGAUCAGAGAAGUGCCAAUUUGGAGAUUGAAGCUCAAUGCGGUCCGCGCUCCAUUUCAUGCGGACCGCACUAAAAGCCACCGCAGCCGCACUCGAUUCUGUGUGGUCCGCAUUGCCCGAGUUUAGAGAGCUGGAUUUUAAGUCAAGAUCCUUAGUGCGGUCGCACGUGAUUUUGUACGGUCCGCACUAGCCCCGCAGGGGUAUUUUUGUCCAGAUUUUUUAACUUAGUAUAAAUAGUUUCUUUU